UGGGGAAUUUUGGACAAUGGGCGCAAGCCUGAUCCAGCAAUGCCGCGUGUGUGGAGAAGGCCUACGGGUUGUAAAGCACUUUUGUCCGGAAAGAAAUCCGUCUGGCUAAUACCCGGACGGGAUGACGGUGCCGGAAGAAUAAGCACCGGCUAACUACGUGCCAGCAGCCGCGGUAAUACGAAGGGUGCGAGCGUUAAUCGGAAUUACUGGGCGUAAAGCGUGCGCAGGCGGCUUUGUAAGACAGUUGUGAAAUCCCCGGGCUCAACCUGGGAACUGCAUUUGUGACUGCAAGGCUAGAGUGCGUCAGAGGGAGGUGGAAUUCCGCGUGUAGCAGUGAAAUGCGUAGAGAUGCGGAGGAACACCGAUGGCGAAGGCAGCCACCUGGGAUGACACUGACGCUCAUGCACGAAAGCGUGGGGAGCAAACA
rnacentral:rRNA from 1 species